rnacentral:rRNA from 1 species
UUAGAGUUUGAUCCUGGCUCAGGAUGAACGCUAGCGGCAGGCUUAAUACAUGCAAGUCGAGGGGCAGCACGGGUAGCAAUACCUGGUGGCGACCGGCAAACGGGUGCGGAACACGUACGCAACUUUCCUUCAAGUGAGGAAUAGCCCAGGGAAACUUGGAUUAAUACCUCGUAAUAUUAUGAAGUGGCAUCACUUUAUAAUUAUAGCUCCGGCGCUUGAAGAUGGGCGUGCGCCUGAUUAGGUAGUUGGCGGGGUAACGGCCCACCAAGCCUACGAUCAGUAACUGGUGUGAGAGCACGACCAGUCACACGGGCACUGAGACACGGGCCCGACUCCUACGGGAGGCAGCAGUAAGGAAUAUUGGGCAAUGGACGCAAGUCUGACCCAGCCAUGCCGCGUGGAGGAUGAAGGUCCUCUGGAUUGUAAACUUCUUUUAUUUGGGAAGAAACCCAUGUUUUCUAAUGUGGUUGACGGUACCAGAUGAAUAAGCACCGGCUAACUCCGUGCCAGCAGCCGCGGUAAUACGGAGGGUGCAAGCGUUAUCCGGAUUCACUGGGUUUAAAGGGUGCGUAGGUGGGCAGGUAAGUCAGUGGUGAAAUCCCCGAGCUUAACUUGGGAACUGCCGUUGAUACUAUCUGUCUCGAAUAUCGUGGAGGUUAGCGGAAUAUGUCAUGUAGCGGUGAAAUGCUUAGAUAUGACAUAGAACACCGAUUGCGAAGGC